CGCUGGCGGCGUGCCUAACACAUGCAAGUGGAGCGACGAACCAGGCUUCGGCCUGGGGCAAAGCCGCGAACGGGUGAGUAACACGUGGGUAACCUGCCCUGAUGAUUGGGACAACCCGAGGAAACUCGGGCUAAUACCGAAUGUGCCCUCCGACCAUAAGGUCGCUGGGGAAAGGAAGCUUCGGCCUCCGCAUCGGGAUGGGCCCGCGGCGCAUUAGCUUGUUGGUGAGGUAACGGCUCACCAAGGCGACGAUGCGUAGCUGGUCUGAGAGGACGAUCAGCCACACUGGGACUGAGACACGGCCCAGACUCCUACGGGAGGCAGCAGUGGGGAAUCUUGCGCAAUGCGCGAAAGCGUGACGCAGCAACGCCGCGUGGGGGAAGAAGGCCUUCGGGUUGUAAAUCCCUUUCAGUUGGGACGAAGCUUCGCCGGUGAAUAUCCGGCCGGAGUGACGGUACCUUCAGAAGAAGCCCCGGCUAACUACGUGCCAGCAGCCGCGGUAAUACAUAUGGGGCAAGCGUUGUCCGGAAUCAUUGGGCGUAAAGAGCGUGUA
rnacentral:rRNA from 1 species